rnacentral:rRNA from 1 species
GAGCAACGCCGCGUGAGGGAGGAAGGCCCUAGGGUUGUAAACCUCUUUUCUCUGGGAAGAAGAUCUGACGGUACCAGAGGAAUAAGCCUCGGCUAACUCCGUGCCAGCAGCCGCGGUAAGACGGAGGAGGCAAGCGUUAUCCGGAAUUAUUGGGCGUAAAGCGUCCGCAGGCGGCUUAUUAAGUCUGUUGUUAAAGCCCACAGCUCAACUGUGGAUCGGCAAUGGAAACUGGUGAGCUUGAGUGUGGUAGGGGUAGAGGGAAUUCCCGGUGUAGCGGUGAAAUGCGUAGUUAUCGGGAAGAACACCAGUGGCGAAGGCGCUCUACUGGGCCACAACUGACGCUGAGG